UGGAUGAAGGGUCAGUCAGUGAGGCCUGAGCCAGCCCCGCGAGCACACCGUCGGGACACGUCGCCCGCACGCUCUCAAAUAGUCACUUUUCCCCGACGCUCCGGUGAUUAUUCCGUGGAUCUAUUGUGCGUUGUUGUAAAGUGCAUGUUCGGAUAUAUUGAUGAAUGCCUUCUGGAGAUGUUGGGCAGCGUCUGAGUGGAAAAUCAGACGGAAAGAAAAAGUUUUAGUGGAGCAGUGAGGCCACGCGCUGGCAGGCCGGGGCUGGAGUGUGCUUGUGAGCUCUUUGCGUUGAGAUUGUUAUUGUGUGGCAGUGAACGCGGCCAGAAGGGAUUUACUCGUGGAUAAACUGCCUGUGGAUGUUAGCGCAAUGAAGGCAUGGUAGCGAGGGAGGGGCCAGCCUAAGUAUGGUGUGGCGCUGUGAGCCCGGGAGGGGCCUCCGCCCCCUGCCCCUCUCAUGGUCUCGCCCCCUCCUGCUCCUGCUCCUCCUCAUCGCCCUCGACAACGUCGUGCCGACCUCCGCGCAAGCUUUCGGUACGUGUUGAGGCGGACGGGGACGCAGUAGCUGCCUCGCCAAUUAUUCUUAGGCGCCGAGCCGUGAGUUGCUCUUGACCGUCUCGCUUUGUCCGGGGGUGACGAGCUACCGGGUCCUUCUCACCUCUCUCUGUCUUUCUAUCUAUGUAUCUCUUUCUCGCUCUCUCGCUCUCUUUCUGUUUGGUGUAGUUUCUGUGUUCCCGUGGUUUUAUUUUUAUUUUCCUUUUUUCUUGUUCUUUCUCUUCGUUCUCUUCCUCCAAUUCCUCUUCUUUUUAGCCUUCUUCACUCACUUGUUCUCUAUCU